GGAAAUAUUGAUUUAGGGAAUAUGUAUUGUGGGAAUUUUUAUGGGAUUAAUAUAUAGUAAAGUUAAUAGGAAAGGUUUUUUAGAGGAAGGGAGAUUUGGUAUAAAUUUGAAUAAAUGAGAAGAAAUUUUAGAAUAGAUUAGUUUAUUUAAGAGUGUUUGAGUAAGAAAAUUUGGAAUAAGAAUUGAGUAGAAAUUUGUAUAGAA
rnacentral:misc_RNA from 1 species